rnacentral:rRNA from 1 species
GAUGAACGCUGGCGGCGUGCCUAAUACGUGCAAGUCGAGCGAAUGGAUUAAGAGCUUGCUCUUAUGAAGUUAGCGGCGGACGGGUGAGUAACACGUGGGUAACCUGCCCAUAAGACUGGGAUAACUCCGGGGAACCGGGGCUAAUACCGGAUAACAUUUUGAACCGCAUGGUUCGAAAUUGAAAGGCGGCUUCGGCUGUCACUUAUGGAUGGACCCGCGUCGCAUUAGCUAGUUGGUGAGGUAACGGCCCACCAAGGCAACGAUGCGUAGCCGACCUGGGGGGGUGUUCGGCAAAACUGGGGCUGAGACACGGCCCAGACUCCUACGGGAGGCAGCAGUAGGGAAUCUUCCGCAAUGGACGAAAGUCUGACGGAGCAACGCCGCGUGAGUGAUGAAGGCUUUCGGGUCGUAAAACUCUGUUGUUAGGGAAGAACAAGUGCUAGUUGAAUAAGCUGGCACCUUGACGGUACCUAACCAGAAAGCCACGGCUAACUACGUGCCAGCCGCCGCCGUAA